AUACGGAGGAUGCAAGCGUUAUCCGGAUUUAUUGGGUUUAAAGGGUGCGUAGGCGGAUGAUUAAGCGUGAGGUGAAAUGCCACUGCUCAACAGUGGAACUGCCUCGCGAACUGGUUGUCUUGAAUGCUCCUGCCGUGGGAGGAAUGUGUGGUGUAGCGGUGAAAUGCAUAGAGAUCACACAGAACACCGAUUGCGAAGGCAUCUCACGAAGGGGUGAUUGACGCUGAGGCACGAAAGCGUGGGGAUCAAACAGGAUUAGAUACCCGGGUAGUCCACGCAGUAAACGAUGAUAACUAACCGCUGGGUCGUAGUGAUUCAGUGGCCAAGCGAAAGCGAUAAGUUAUCCACCUGGGGAGUACGACCGCAAGGUUGAAACUCAAAUGAAUUGGCGGGG
rnacentral:rRNA from 1 species